AUUCCAUGAUGAGGACAGGUGGCCACAUACUCCUGCAGACGUUCCCAUGCUUCGAGAAUAUCGUCUCAUCCCUAGUCUGCUGGAAGCUUGAUGUUCUCCUGCGAAGGGC
rfam:Oryza barthii chromosome 8, whole genome shotgun sequence.